rfam:Rattus norvegicus chromosome 10, whole genome shotgun sequence.
GGGGAUUUAGCUCAGCAGUAGAGCGCUUGCCUAGCAAGCGCAAGGCCCUGGGUUCGAUCCCCAGCUCCG